rnacentral:rRNA from 1 species
UACGAAGGGGGCUAGCGUUGCUCGGAAUUACUGGGCGUAAAGGGCGCGUAGGCGGACAGUUUAGUCAGAGGUGAAAGCCCAGGGCUCAACCUUGGAACUGCCUUUGAUACUGGCUGUCUUGAGUUCGGGAGAGGUGAGUGGAAUGCCGAGUGUAGAGGUGAAAUUCGUAGAUAUUCGGCGGAACACCAGUGGCGAAGGCGACUCACUGGCCCGUAUCUGACGCUCAGGCGCGAUAGCGUGGGGAUCAAACAGGAUUAGAAACCCGAGUAGU